AUCUGCCUCUCCAGGACCUCAGAUUCCUGACAACACUGUUGGCUUCCCGGAGACUCCUUCAUCCUGCAGAAGAUGCAAUUCCACGGGGUCCUGAGAGAUUGGACAUGGGUGGGAUGUGGCAGUCCUCAUGGAAGACUCUUGAACAAGUGUCGCAACAGAACAGCUCCCCUCCGUCCCGGCACACCUCACACUCAUCCAAGUUUCUCAUCUAGAAGACAUCUGGCUGUGGGCUGUGAGACAUAAACCUCCAUGUCAAGCUCAUACAAAAUCAGCCACGCAAACACUGACCUCCAGGGCUGUUUUAACCAUUCGUGAGUCCCUGAGUUGGCCGGGCAUCAAAAUCAGUGUGGAAAAGACCUAAAUCUGAUUGGAGGACUGCUUUGGAGGUUCUCAUUCACACCCAGUCUUCGAAAAACCAUCACCUUGUCCUGAAUCUACACUGCACUUAACCUAUUUGUUUGUUGCGUUCUUAAGUGAAGGAAAAAUCACUUUCACAGAUAAAAAGCAGGUCUGCACAGUCCCUCUGGUAGAACCAAAGAGGUGGCAUCAACAUAAAAGAUUUUCCUGGUCAGCUCCUCCUGUAAAAUACGUUUGCCUCUGGAGAUCUUCCUCCCCAAUGGCACCAUCUUGACAAAGUGGACUUGAUGAAAGCAUCUCACGGAAGAAAGAGCUAGUGAUUGUGCAUCAACCACUUGCAAUGUCAUUUCACGGCUGCACCU
rnacentral:lncRNA from 1 species